rnacentral:rRNA from 1 species
UUAAAGGAANUNGNGGGGGAGCCCCNCAAGGGGNGNAANCNUGCGGUUCCAAUUGGAUUCAACNCCAAAAAUUUUUNCCCGGAGAGACAGCAGAAUGAAGGUUCAAGNUGAAGACUUUACCAGACAAGNUGAGAGGUGGUGCAUGGCCGUCGCCAGCUCGUGCCGUGAGAUGUCCUGUUAAGUCAGGUAACGAGCGAGAUCCCCUGCCUCUAGUUGCCACCCAUUACUCUCAGGAGUAGUGGGGGCGAAUUAGCGGGACCGCCGCAGUUAAUGCGGAGGAAGGAAGGGGCCACGGCAGGUCAGUAUGCCCCGAAACUCUGGGGCCACACGCGGGCUGCAAUGGUAGCGACAAUUGGUUUCGAAUCCGAAAGGAUGAGGUAAUCCACAAACGCUACCACAGUUAUGACUGAGGGCUGCAACUCGCCCUCACGAAUAUGGAAUCCCUAGUAACUGCGUGUCAUUAUCGCGCGGUGAAUACGUCCCUGCUCCUUGCACACACCGCCCGUCGUUUCAUUGAAGUGAGCUUUUAGCGAGGUGACGUCUGAUUGGCGUUAUCGAACUUGAGGUUCGUGACAAGGGAAAAGUCGUAACAAGGU